ensembl:snoRNA Gm23639 predicted gene, 23639
AGCCUUUGUGUUGCCCGUUCACCUUUGAUCACUAGUGAAUGCGGUGUCAAAAAAGGCAUAAAUUAAUGCUUGGCAAGCUUUUCUUACCCCGGAGUUUGGUAUCUUGGGUAAAGGAACUGCUUAAGUAACAAUC